ACGUGGGAAGGGUAUGGAUGAUUUUUUUUUCUCCUCAUCUGGGAAUCUCCAUCGUGGAUAGCAAUCGCUUCUAGAGCUCUCCUGGGAAGCUCCUCUGGGGAAGGGGCUAUGCCCCUCCACCCCCUACUUUCCACAGCAUGUAGGGAAUCUGAUCAAUGGAGACAUUCAGCUCUAAGAAUACAACCACUCCAACGCCUUCUGCUCGGGGAGACUGCGAGGAGCUUGCAACAGGCAGAGACAGAUGGGAGUUAACGGGAGGGAGGGAGAAUAUAAGAAAUAUUUGGGUAUUUUUCUGAUUUGAAAAACAUUUUCUGCAGUUAUGCAAGUGAGUCUGGUGGUGCAGGAAAAAAAAAAAGUGAGGAGGGGGCGUUUAAUGCACAUUUAAUGUUUUGGAAGUAAGGUUCCAGCGAAAUGCCUUUGUGUGUGGAGGUUUUUUCAGUACUUGCUAAAAAUAGCAUCAGGGUUUGAUCGUGUUCCAGAAAUAAACCGAGGGCUGUACUGGGAUAAAAAGCCAGCGCGGGUGGAAGAAAACCUGGACAUCACCGCAUUCCUCCCCCCACAACUAUGUCUGGAAAUUAAUUGUUGGAUUUUUCCUCUCUUCUCUCCUCUUUCCAUCCACUUUCUCUUUCCUCCCCCUAUGUUUCUCUUUCUCUCUCUUAAGGAGUUCCCGUUUGGGUGGUCAAACCUGUCCUGACACCCAGAGGUCUGCAUGAGGGGUGGCCACUGAAGGAGGAGCUCUCAAAGGCCACAGGUGAUGAAGAGCUUGGAUGAAUGAACUUAGAAGUCCCAGGAAAAUAGCAAAAAUUUCAUCUCCUGAAGAAAUUUGAAGAUUUUUUGGGAUAUUCUUUUAAAGGUGAAACUUCUUCUUUAGGAUUGGACAACUGAAUUUAAAGGCAAGUUAAAGUUCAAUAUUUUGAACUAUGUUUAAAUGAAGAUGAGCGAGAAGACAGAACUGUUAAAAGGUUUUAUUUUACAGCCAAGUGAAGGAUUCAGCUGUGUCCCAAAGGAUUAAACAAGAUGGUAUGCUUAAUAAUUCCUCGCUUCUGUGAAAUUCUCUGAUUAUGAAGUGUACUUUCAUUCUAUAGAACUACUCCUGAUUUCAUCAGGAAACUCAGAUCUGAAACUCAAUUUACAGAAAUAUUAAAAAUGAAUUUUCAACUAAAUGGGAAUAUUUGUGUACUAAUAUGAUACAAUAUUGUUGCUUCAUUUUUUCAUAUUAAAUACCAUUCUAAACUCUAAAUUUGUUAAUAAAUGAAGCAGAAAUCUAAUGUGA